UGUGUCAUUUCCCCUCUCAAUGGGCGUCUGUGGAGAGGACGGCCGUGGCGGCUCGCCGUUCGUCGCCGGGUACGGGGCAGGAGGGUCCUCCCCUUGGCCAUGGUCGCACCGAGAGACAGAGGGGGCAGGUUGGCUAGCAGUCUCUUCCCCCCUCACCCAGUACCACGCCCUCUCUCCCACAACCCUCCUUGAAACCCUAGCCGCCACAGCCGGUCGUCGCUGAUGCACUCCUCGAGGAGAAGUAAAUCGGCGGAGCGCAUUUCCGAGCGCGGGAGGCGCGCUGGAGGCGGCGGCCGGGCGCACGGGGAAGCCGCCGGCCGCGCGGGAGGCCAUCAGGCGGCUACGGGAACAAGCCAGGCGCUGCCUCCUGGCCUCCCGCCCAGUGUUUCUCCCCAUGUCCAACACCAGCAGCUAGCUCCUCCCAAUUGCCUCGCCCCAUCCAGUAGCAGCAGCGCCUCCACCACCACACCUUAACUCUGCCAUGCUGACCAUAAAUUAUGGUAUUGCUUUGUGAAAGUAUUUUCUGUUGAUUUAGCCUCUGGUUCAGAUAAAGAAAGGUACAUCAUAUAAAAUAGUUUGCAUUGCGCAUUGGUUGAGGAGUGCCUGGCAGUUGGCGAGAGAAGAGGAUCAAAAGAACGAGAGGAGGCAAGAUUAUUUUAUGGUUGUGGAACCAGUCUCCCGGGUUCUAUUUUACAUUUGGAGAAAGUCAACGAGCAGUGUAGGUUAUCAUAUACACAUGCACUUCUUAUUUCCUAUCGUCUCCUGGAAGGACACUUAUUUGUUUUGUCUAGAUUACUGGGUGCUGCAUUUACAUUCUUGUUUCAGUUUCUACUAGAUUGGUUGUUUAGCAACAAUUCUUUCAUAGGAUUUGUGAAGAAAGAAGUUAGGGCUAUUCCAGCUGAAAAUAAUGGAGCACGAAGUCGAUCAGGUGGGAUGAACAUUUUUCUUGCAAGCCCAGAUGGUCAUGUUGUCAGUGGUGGAGUUGCUGGCCUACUGGUGGCGGCAAGUCUUGUUGAGUGUGCAAAGUCAAGCCUAGAAUGGUUGGUCAAACAUUGAUUUUUCAUUGGAACCCCAAAAUAGCUUUGGCUUGUGGGAUAUGAUGGCUAACUAUAAUAGGAGUCACUCUGAGAGUAUGCUGAUGACACAUGCUCAAUCUAUGGCAACAACCAGUGGUCAUGGCCAUCGCAAUAGGAGCCAGCAUACCUACCAAAUUUUGCACCUUGUCCCAUUUGGUUCUCACCAGGAUCAGUUAUAACAUUGGUAAAGAUUGUGCUGCCCCUUAUUUGUAAAGCUAUCUUCAAACGAUUUGCUCCUGUUAAAAUUUGUUUGCUCUUGGAAAUUUUAACUUGGUAAACAUUGUGCUGCCCCUUAGUCAUGAUUUUAGGAAUGUAUAUAAAUUUUACUCACCAGGCUGUCAUUCUUGUUAUAGAUUAUACUUGCCAGUGUAGCAUAAUGUAGCUUUUAGCGUAUGAUGUGAUUAUGAAGGAGACUAACAAUUUUGACCUGAGAACUUUAUGCCCGUGGAAGUUCCGGGAUGUCACUUGUGGCGGCGCGUGUGCAGAAGACGCGAAGAGGACGCCAAGCUCGAGCAUGUCACCUCCACCAUCCACUGCGGCAGGCGCGCCGACGCCAUCACCGUCCUCAGCCCACGCCCGCAGUCGUGGUGGAGGGGAGUGGCGGAGCCGCAGCCCGACGAGGAAACACUGAAGGGAGAGCACAUGCUGCUGCCAAUCUCUUGCCUCUGGUGGGAAGCACGGGGCUGCUGCCACUCAGCACGACCUGGUGCUGAACAGCGGCUGUGAGACCAAGAACGAACUCGUCUGUGACAACAGCACCCUUCUCUGGAUUGGACAACAUGAUGACAAUUAUGUUUUGAUUCCCCUGUCAGAUUUGUCGUGGAGAUGGAUUUCCAUGUCCAGGAGUUUCUUACACCACACCACUGGUAUUUGUGGAGUCCAUGGCUGCUGCAGGUUGCAGGCUUUGCAGCUCAUGUUUUUGCUGCUUUGGCGGCCUAAUUGGAGAGGUUUCCCGUGUGUCUCACAGAGUCUUAGGAUGUUAGUUUGAUGUCGGUGAUGAGGCUAAAAAAUAACUAUUAUUUGUGACACACGCAUGUUUACCAGAAUGGGUACAAAUCACUACUUCUCUGGUGGGUGGUUUGAUCAAAUAGAGUUCUUUGCCUCCUCGGCCUAUUCAACGAUCGCCACCGGAUGAUGCCACAAAGCAGCACAGAGUGUAUUGGCGCAUGUUCUGUGCAAUGGAAAGGAUCUUGGAACAAAUGAAACAAACGUCUGGAUGAUCAAUGAAGAAGCAAUGUACAUGGGCUCAGAUACAUAUCAUCAUCUGAAGUGAUAUGUUAGGAUAUCAUAUGGGAAAAGUAUGGCUGCAGACAGUUGCAAUAUUGGUGAUGAUGGUGGAUAUAUUUGCUCCAAAUAUUUCCAGGAAAACAUCUAGAGCAUCCAUGGUGAUGAUGUUGUCCAUGUGAAAUCCUUGGUGAGGUUGGACGUCCCCAAGAGACACAUGGUCUCUAUUGACAUGACAAGUAAAGCAUUGAAAGCAUUGGUACCUUGUGCUGCUGCUAAACUGAAUGCUUACUGCCCCCACUUCCCCCUACGUGUUGUCAAGUCAUCUGAGCGACAGUCCAGAUUUGCCUGAGGUUGUACAAGCAAGUAACUCUGAGAAUGCGAAUGCAGCUCUGCCCCAAAUUUGUCAAGCAAGCCACUCUCAGAACAUAACUGACAAUAGGCAAGUCUUAGUCCCUCGAGAGAACUUCCAUACUUGUGAAGAUCUCCACUGUUUCUUUUUUACAUGACAGUUUGAGGAGAGUUGCAGCAAUACAAAGAGUAUUUGCAAGGCUAUUAGUAUUUUGCUUGAUCCGUUGCUUAAUCGUGCAAGAGUAUUGCUGAAGUAGUAGUAGUAGCAAUUUUCUCUGUACUUCAGCUCUAUUGCUUUUAGAAGGAAGGUUUUGUCGUCGUUUUUGAUCUGUUGCUUCAGUCUUUUGUUUCUCUUGUAUGAGCUGGGUGUAAUUCAAUAUUUAGUCAACAAAAACCUGAGCCCUGGUUGUACUUCUAAAGACCCAGAUCUUAAUUUGACACUCUUCAUGUCCAGUAUAUUUCUGA